ACCACUCACCAGGACGUGUUGUCACCAUUUUACCGCUUUGCCUCGUCUCUUAACUAGACGAAAUGGGUUCCUUUUGGCUCUUUGGAAAGGGAGGCUGUCUUCUAUUUAUUUCCGUGGUAAUCCCACCUCCCACAACAAGUUCCAUUCUACAGCAAUGUCUUUUCUCUUGCUGAGAACCAUUCAAGUCUAAGUUUUCUGGUGGGUAGGGGUAGGGGGUGUGUUGCAAGACUUUUGUCUUCUCAACUUAUUUUUCUAGUUCUCACUUUCCUUAAGUGCUAAUUUUUUUGAAUUAGUGGUCUGCUCUCAACUGUACGUAUUUUUCCGUCCACUCCCUCCUUCCCCCAGCCGUCUUCCUUCCUCAUUGUGGUUUGGACCUUCUCGAGAAAGAAUCUGGCCUCAGUCUCCCUCUUCCACACUCAGGGACCGCCACCAUCACAGGCACUCGGUAGAUGUCUGCUGAAUGAGGAUAACUUCUACCCAACACCGUGAAGCCUGGCCCAGGGUCUGGCAUACAGAUGCCGUGUUUGUAAGGUGACUAAAACCCAGUGGCCUCUGUAAAUUCCUAUUUUCCUUGGACUCUGAGCCCUCUGACCACCUUCUGGAAGCCGUGUCCCUGUCUUUUUUCCUUGUGCCCCAGGCUUCUCCACCCCCCUGUCUGGCUGUGCUGCCCCUGGAUCCCUUCGUGCCCCGUUCCCCGCACUAUGUCUCCUCAGUCCUCCUCCCUUUUCUCUAGGCUGCCUUUCCUUGGAGAGGUCCUAUGCAUGUAGCCUGUCUUGAUGUUUACUGUUUUACAGUGGCUUUUCUCAUCUGCAUAGUCUGUCCUCCUGUCUUUCCAUCCUGCUCCUGUUCCCACCGGCUCUGUCCUCUCCCUCAGAUGUCCAGCCACCACCUCAAUGUCAGCCGAAGCCCAGUGUCUCUCCAAAGCUCUUGAUCUCCAUUUCUGUCAGCGAUACCAUCAUUUCCCAGUCACUCCGUCCAGAAAGGUCAGCCCCUCCUUGUACUUUGCUCCCUAAAUCCAGUCCCCAAAUCGGCUGCUUCUUACUAUCUAGAUGGUUGCAGUGGAUUCUAUCCAGUCCCAUCCCCAGACCACCCUUCCCACUGUUAGUGGAGUUCCCUUCCUAAAAGACUUCAUUCCCUAGCUCUUCUCUUGCUCAGGUCAUUCUGAAACAUCCCCUCCCCCAUUCGUCUACUAAAUCAAGUCCAGACUCCUUUGCCUAAUGUUUAAGACCCUUCAUAAUUUAGCCCCAUCUGCCUUUUUAGGUUGCUGCUACUUUGUGCUCCAGGGUCACUCUUCUCACUGCCCUCUAAGUAUCAGCAAAUCUACAGCCUGGAUCCCUCAACAGCUUGCCCAUGAUCCCCAUCUCUGCCCUGUAACGUGGUCCCCAUUCCAUGCAUGCCUGAACAUGCGUGACCCUGCUGCUCCGUGGCUCAUGUCCUUAUCUCCUGCAUACAUCAUUGUCUAUACCACGCCCCACCCCUGCCUCAAUCUCUCACACUACUGAAGGUACAGUGUAAUCUUGGUCUUCCACCUUGAAAACCUAUGCUGACCAUUCUCUCGAGGCUGAGUUAGUCAUCCAUACCAUUCUUUGGGCAUUCAUAAUCUAUCAUUUGGUAUUGUUAGUGAUCUUUUUAGAGAUUCAACCAGAGCUUGCAAGUUAAUUGAAAACAGGUUACUAUGCUCACAUGUCCCACAUUUCUGGAACAAUUCAGAAUUCAAAUAUUUUGCUCUACUGCUUCAUAUAACAAAUAAAAAUGACCCAAAA
ensembl:lncRNA BTG2-DT BTG2 divergent transcript